rnacentral:rRNA from 1 species
AUGAACGCUGGCGGCGUGCCUAAUACAUGCAAGUCGAGCGAACAGAUGAGGAGCUUGCUCCUCUGACGUUAGCGGCGGACGGGUGAGUAACACGUGGAUAACCUACCUAUAAGACUGGGAUAACUUCGGGAAACCGGAGCUAAUACCGGAUAAUAUAUUGAACCGCAUGGUUCAAUAGUGAAAGACGGUUUUGCUGUCACUUAUAGAUGGAUCCGCGCCGCAUUAGCUAGUUGGUAAGGUAACGGCUUACCAAGGCAACGAUGCGUAGCCGACCUGAGAGGGUGAUCGGCCACACUGGAACUGAGACACGGUCCAGACUCCUACGGGAGGCAGCAGUAGGGAAUCUUCCGCAAUGGGUGAAAGCCUGACGGAGCAACGCCGCGUGAGUGAUGAAGGUCUUCGGAUCGUAAAACUCUGUUAUUAGGGAAGAACAAAUGUGUAAGUAACUAUGCACGUCUUGACGGUACCUAAUCAGAAAGCCACGGCUAACUACGUG